rnacentral:rRNA from 1 species
GAGUUCGGAAUUACGGGCGGCUGGUAUAUUGACUGUACAAAGGUAGCAUAAUCAUUAGUCUUUUAAUUGAAGACUUGUAUGAAAGAUUUGAUGAAAUAUAAACUGUCUCUAAUUUAUUAUUAUAUAAUUUAAUUUUUUAGUUAAAAAGCUAAAAUAAUUUUAAAAGACGAGAAGACCCUAUAGAGUUUUAUAAUUAAUUUAUUUAUUAAUAAAUAUUAAAUAUGAAAUAAUAAUUAAUUUAAUUAUUGUGUUGGGGUGACAUGAAAAUUAAAAUAACUUUUAUUAUAAAUUAAACAUUAAUAAAUGAAUAAAUGAUCCAUUAAUUAAUGAUUAUAAGAAAAAAUUACCUUAGGGAUAACAGCGUAAUAUUUUUUUUUAGUACGAAUAAAAAAAAAAGUUUGCGACCUCGAUGUUGGAUUAAGAUAAAAUUUAAAUGUAGAAGUUUAAAAUUUUGAUCUGUUCGAUCAUUAAAAUCUUACAUGAUCUGAGUUCA